CAUCUUAGAAGAAAUGGAAAAGACAAAAAGGGGGAAACCCUUAGAUAUGGCCCCACACACAUGCAGGAGAGGCUGGGAAAAAACAGAUAAGACCCAUCAUUCUCAGUUAAGACUGGUACCCAGAGUCAAGCUUCCCAACUCUGCCUUCCUUCCUUUGCAGGAAUACCUCACCAGGGGGCCAACAAUCUCUCAACCUCUCUCUCCCUCACCCCCUCAUGAGAUCAGAUGUCUCCAUGUAGCCCUGGCUAUCCUAGAACUCACUAUAUAGACCAGACCAACCUUGAACUCCCAGAGAUCUGCUCGCCCCUCCUCACUGCUUCGAUUAAGGGGCUGGCGCACUGAGAAAAGUCCAGAUGAUACUACAGCCAAUAAAGAGAGCAGACUGGAGUAAAAGAGUCAAAAAGCUGAAUUAGCUGUGAAUGCCUGGGCGACAGAACAUCCCAGGAUCGCGCUUGUGAUGGGCUCAGGAGAAGCUUUUGGUAGUUAAAUAGCCAAGUGAGAAAGGGGAGGAUACGGUGUCAAGUCACAUACAGCCUCAGGACUGGAGGAAACAGCACGGACGAAGAGCAGACUGCCUGAAUCGAAACCAACCCUCAGCUCCUCAGGCUACCUGUUCCCACCUCGCUUUCCUCUGUGGAGGAAGAAGCGUAGGUGGGCCGCUUUGAGAC
rnacentral:lncRNA from 1 species